ACUGCCUACAACCAGUUCAGCAAUUUAGCUUAAUGUUGCAGUCCAUAAGUUCAGGAAAACUUAUUCUUUCUGAGCAUGAGCAUAUAAUCAGUGACAUAUUUUAUAUUUUAAAGACUAAAUUUUACAGCAACGCCAGCUUUUUUUUUCCUGUUUCCUGCCACUUCAAAAUGUUAAAAGAUCCUAAGACUAAACUAAAUGUUAAGCAUACAGUUUUGAAUGUCCUUGCUAACAGCUGAUGAUUACAAUGAAUAAACUGCUUUUUAUGAUUGCAA